UUUUAUAAAGGUUGAUUUGGCGCUCGAAUCCCAAGUUACUAUUCUAUGGGUUGAGUGCGCCAAAACCCUUAUAAAACGA